rnacentral:rRNA from 1 species
AACGAACGCUGGCGGCAGGCUUAACACAUGCAAGUCGAGCGCAUCCUUCGGGGUGAGCGGCAGACGGGUGAGUAACGCGUGGGAACGUGCCCUCUUCUACGGAAUAGCCUCGGGAAACUGAGAGUAAUGCCGUAUACGCCCGCAAGGGGAAAGAUUUAUCGGAGGAGGAUCGGCCCGCGUUGGAUUAGGUAGUUGGUGGGGUAACGGCCUACCAAGCCGACGAUCCAUAGCUGGUUUGAGAGGAUGAUCAGCCACACUGGGACUGAGACACGGCCCAGACUCCUACGGGAGGCAGCAGUGGGGAAUCUUGGACAAUGGGGGCAACCCUGAUCCAGCCAUGCCGCGUGAUCGAUGAAGGCCUUAGGGUUGUAAAGAUCUUUCAGCUGGGAAGAUAAUGACGGUACCAGCAGAAGAAGCCCCGGCUAACUCCGUG